rnacentral:hammerhead_ribozyme from 1 species
GCGCUGCUGAGGAGUCCCACAAUAGAACGAAACGGCUGUUCAGUGC